rnacentral:lncRNA from 1 species
AUGGAGACAGCCAGGACUAGCCAGGCCAGGCUGCCCAACAUAAGGUGUUGGGACCCAGGGGAGGCCAGGAGGAAGGGGGGAGAGCGGGAGGGGAGCAGUGGAUCUGGGAGGAAGCUAGAACCAGAGUCCAGUCAUUCUUCAUCCUGUGGUGCCCGGCCUAUCCCAUUGAUCGAUGCCCACACUACUAACCUAGAGAUCACCAAUGCUUUAUGUAUUGUGGCAAACUCACCACACCAUUUCAGUAUCACUGUCAGCAAACCAAUUAUGUCACCACAUAGGUUACUAUGGAGCUGGAGAAAACCACAAGCAGCAAGACAGUCUUCAGCUGUGAAAUACUGUACAGGAGACCCCAGUCAGCCUGGAUUUUCACCACAGCACCCCCAGCAUAUCAAUGGACCUCUCACCAGUAGUCCCCUCCAUUGA